AAUCAUGGCUCAGGACGAACGCUGGCGGCGUGCCUAACACAUGCAAGUCGAACGGAAGCAAAGAUUUCGGUUUUUGCUUUAGUGGCGAACGGGUGAGUAACGCGUGAGGAACCUGCCUUUCAGUGGGGGACAACAGUUGGAAACGACUGCUAAUACCGCAUAAUGCUUUUUGAUGGCAUCAUUGAAAAGCCAAAGAUUUAUUGCUGAAAGAUGGCCUCGCGUCUGAUUAGCUGGUUGGUGGGGUAACGG
rnacentral:rRNA from 1 species